ensembl:miRNA
UGAGAACUGAAUUCCAUAGAUGGUAGUUGCUCAGAUAGACAUCUAUGGAUUCAGUUCUUCU